CACAACGGACGACCGUUGUGCGCAACGACCCAUAGCGGGACGGCCCGC
rnacentral:ncRNA from 1 species